rnacentral:lncRNA from 1 species
UCCUUGUGGGAGGCCAGCCCGGGAGAUCUACAGGCGAUCAGGGAGGCGCCCCGUGGCCCCUGGUACCCGUGCGCUGCAGCGUCUCCUUCCCGUUCUCCAGGUAUCUGCGGAGCCACUCCACGCACCUGCCCUCCAGGUAGGCUGUCUGCUGCUCCGCCUCAUGGGCCGCCUCCCACUUGCGCUGGGUAAUCUGAGCCGCCAUGGCCGCCGCAGUCCAAGAGCUCAGGUCCUGGUUUAGGGCGAUGUAAUCUUUUUACAGAGAAUCCUUUUUACAGAGAAUGGGGAGAUAACCAGGACAGGAUUUAUGGACCCAGUGAUUCCACCGUGGGGCAUAAUUUGUCCAGGUUUAUUCCCUGGCCUCUGUAAGCCCCACUGUGAUAGGGACAUAAUGGUGCUGUGGGAAUCUGGGCAGCAAUGUUAGCUCA